CUGACCUCAAAUCAGGAGGACUACCCGCUGAACUU
rnacentral:rRNA from 1 species